AUGAACGCUAGCUACAGGCUUAACACAUGCAAGUCGAGGGGCAGCAUCAUCAAAGCUUGCUUUGAUGGAUGGCGACCGGCGCACGGGUGAGUAACACGUAUCCAACCUGCCGACAACACUGGGAUAGCCUUUCGAAAGAAAGAUUAAUACCGGAUGGCAUAAUUAUUCCGCAUGGGAUAAUUAUUAAAGAAUUUCGGUUGUCGAUGGGGAUGCGUUCCAUUAGGCAGUUGGCGGGGUAACGGCCCACCAAACCUACGAUGGAUAGGGGUUCUGAGAGGAAGGUCCCCCACAUUGGAACUGAGACACGGUCCAAACUCCUACGGGAGGCAGCAGUGAGGAAUAUUGGUCAAUGGACGAGAGUCUGAACCAGCCAAGUAGCGUGAAGGAUGACUGCCCUAUGGGUUGUAAACUUCUUUUAUACGGGAAUAAAGUGAGCCACGUGUGGCUUUUUGUAUGUACCGUAUGAAUAAGGAUCGGCUAACUCCGUGCCAGCAGCCGCGGUAAUACGGAGGAUUCGAGCGUUAUCCGGAUUUAUUGGGUUUAAAGGGAGCGUAGGCGGGUUGUUAAGUCAGUUGUGAAAGUUUGCGGCUCAACCGUAAAAUUGCAGUUGAUACUGGCGACCUUGAGUGCAACAGAGGUAGGCGGAAUUCGUGGUGUAGCGGUGAAAUGCUUAGAUAUCACGAAGAACUCCGAUUGCGAAGGCAGCUUACUGGAUUGUAACUGACGCUGAUGCUCGAAAGUGUGGGUAUCAAACGGGAUUAGAUACCCUGGUAGUCCACACAGUAAACGAUGAAUACUCGCUGUUGGCGAUAUACAGUCAGCGGCCAAGCGAAAGCAUUAAGUAUUCCACCUGGGGAGUACGCCGGCAACGGUGAAACUCAAAGGAAUUGACGGGGGCCCGCACAAGCGGAGGAACAUGUGGUUUAAUUCGAUGAUACGCGAGGAACCUUACCCGGGCUUAAAUUGCAACUGACGGAACCGGAAACGGUUCUUUCUUCGGACAGUUGUGAAGGUGCUGCAUGGUUGUCGUCAGCUCGUGCCGUGAGGUGUCGGCUUAAGUGCCAUAACGAGCGCAACCCUUACGGGUAGUUACCAUCAGGUUAUGCUGGGGACUCUACCCGGACUGCCGUCGUAAGAUGUGAGGAAGGUGGGGAUGACGUCAAAUCAGCACGGCCCUUACGUCCGGGGCUACACACGUGUUACAAUGGGGGGUACAGAAGGCAGCUACACGGCGACGUGGUGCUAAUCCCAAAAGCCUCUCUCAGUUCGGAUUGGAGUCUGCAACCCGACUCCAUGAAGCUGGAUUCGCUAGUAAUCGCGCAUCAGCCACGGCGCGGUGAAUACGUUCCCGGGCCUUGUACACACCGCCCGUCAAGCCAUGAAAGCCGGGGGUACCUGAAGUACGUAACCGCGAGGAGCGUCCUAGGGUAAAACUGGUGAUUGGGGCU
rnacentral:rRNA from 1 species